rnacentral:snoRNA from 1 species
GAUGCCUUUGAUGACAUGAUGGUUUCAGAACUGGCACACAUCGUUGUUGCCAGAGCUAUGUUGAUAUUGCUCAUGAACUAGGACGGUCUGAGGCCUU